rnacentral:rRNA from 1 species
CCUACGGGAGGCAGCAGUAGGGAAUAUUCGGCAAUGGGGGGAACCCUGACCGAGCAACGCCGCGUGAAGGAUGAAGGUCUUCGUUCUGUAAACUUCUGUUAUAAAGGAAGAACGACGGAUGGAGGAAAUGACAUCCGAGUGACGGUACCUUAUGAGAAAGCCACGGCUAACUACGUGCCAGCAGCCGCGGUAAUACGUAGGUGGCAAGCGUUAUCCGGAAUUAUUGGGCGAAAAGAGGUGGCAGGCGGCAGCAAAGGUCUGGGGUGAAAGCCUGAGGCUAAACUUCAGUAAGCCCUAGAAACCGGGCAGCUAGAGUGCAGGAGAGGAUAGUGGAAUUCCAUGUGUAGCGGUGAAAUGCGUAGAUAUAUGGAGGAACACCAGUGGCGAAGGCGACGAUCUGGCCUGCAACUGACGCUCAGGCCCGAAAGCGUGGGGAGCAAAUAGGAUUAGAUACCCCAGUAGUC